rnacentral:rRNA from 1 species
GACAGAGGGUGCAAACGUUGUUCGGAAUUACUGGGCGUAAAGCGCGUGUAGGCAGCUCGGAAAGUCGGGUGUGAAAGCCCUGGGCUCAACCUAGGAAGUGCACUCGAAACUUCCGAGCUGGAGUGCUGGAGAGGAAGGCGGAAUUCUCGGUGUAGAGGUGAAAUUCGUAGAUAUCGAGAGGAACACCGGUGGCGAAGGCGGCCUUCUGGACAGUUACUGACGCUGAGACGCGAAAGCGUGGGGAGCAAACAGG